UUAAACGAAACCUCAAGAUCUUCGCAAUUUAACAUCGCAAAGGCCUUUAGAUUACACUGACAAAGUUUGGUGUUGAUCUGAAUAAAUCUCUAGGAGGAGUUCGUUAAAGUACAACCCCUGAAAAUGGCAAAAACGACACAAACUUUGCAGAGAAAAUUCAAAAUAACUGACUUCCUGUUGGGAUUCGAAUUUCGUACCAAGAGACUUUUUUGUAGGUAUUGGUGUGUUACAUGUGUGUACCGAUUUUUGUACAUGUACGUGAAACGUAGCUCGAGGCGCACUCCGUUGAAAAUGUAUAGGUGGCGCUAUCGAGGCAUUUUGCCACACCCGAUGGAAUAUUGGCCUUCAGAUUUGUUCAGGCCAGGACUCUUAUCGAACAUGUGAAGUUUGGGCAAGAUCGGACAUUUUAUGCCUGAGUUACAAUAACUUUUAUUCCCAUGGCGAGACAUCGAACUUUGUGACAGCGCCAUGGACACGUCCUUUAACGAAAACUCAAGAUCUUCACAAUUUAACAUCGCACAGGCCUUUAGAAUAGAGUGACUGAAAAAAAAAAAAUUAUGUCAUAAAAUUUCUCGGGG
ensembl:lncRNA